GUUUCUAUAGUUGAAUAACAACGAUGAUUUUUCAUGUCAUUGGUCGUGGUUGAAGCCUACGUAGAAAUU
rnacentral:tRNA from 1 species